CCUACGGGAGGCAGCAGUGGGGAAUAUUGCGCAAUGGGGGCAACCCUGACGCAGCGAUGCCGCGUGAGUGAAUAAGGCCUUCGGGUUGUAAAGCUCUUUCAGUGGGGACGAUGAUGACGGUACCCACAGAAGAAGCCCCGGCUAACUCCGUGCCAGCAGCCGCGGUAAUACGGAGGGGGCGAGCGUUGUUCGGAAUUAUUGGGCGUAAAGGGCGCGUAGGCGGUCUGUCAAGUCAGAAGUGAAAGCCCCAGGCUUAACCUGGGAACGGCUUUUGAAACUGGCAGACUUGAGUCCGGCAGAGGGUGGUAGAAUUCCCCGUGUAGAGGUGAAAUUCGUAGAUAUGGGGAGGAAGACCGGAGGCGAAGGCGGCCACCUGGACCGGUACUGACGCUGAGGCGCGAAAGCGUGGGGAGCAAACAGGAUUAGAUACCCCGGUAGUC
rnacentral:rRNA from 1 species